UGAGUGCUUUCGGAGAUGCAUGCCCU
rnacentral:piRNA from 1 species